CAUUAGAUGGCUGAAAGUAAGUAUUGGUCUCUUAAACCACCCUAUAGUAAAUUAACAUUUACUUCUAAUGA
rnacentral:tRNA from 1 species